CUGAUUACUUGAAAGCACUGGCAAGGACAAGUCUUCAUUUAUUAGAAAAUGGCUUGGACUGGUUAUUUUCUCUGCCUGAAGUGCUCUUCCUCCAGAUCCAGACAGCUGCUGAAGGAC